AGCCUGUCUCAGUUNGGAUUGAAGUCUNCAACUCGACUUCAUGAAGCUGGNAUCGCUAGUAAUCGCAGAUCAGAACGCUGCGGUGAAUACGUUCCCGGGUCUUGUACACACCCCCCGUCACAUCACGAAAGUGGAUUGUACUAGAAGUAGCUGGGCUAACCCNCAAGGGGGNCAAGUUACUACGGUAUGAUUNCAUGAUUGGGGUGAAGUCGUAACAAGGUUACC
rnacentral:rRNA from 1 species